rnacentral:lncRNA from 1 species
CUCGUGCUUUCUUUACAUAUUUACAUGGCUUCAUUUUUAACUCAAAUCUUUGAUCCAACCGGAAAUUAUUUUGGUGUAACUAGGGAUCCCAUUUUAUUAUUUUCCCAGAUGACUGUCCGCUUGUUCCAAUGCUAAUUGUUAACAAUUCAUCUUUUUUCUACUGCCUUGAAACGUGUCUUUAGCAGAGACGCAAUUCCCGUAUUUAUUCACAUCUCUUUACGUGCUUUAUGUUCUGGCUGAUUGAUUUCUUAGGUUUAUUCAUAUGCGAUUUCAGCUACUAUACGUUUAUAAUUUGUUUUAAAAUCAGAUGGAUUUGUUUACUUCGUUUUUUUCUCUCUCUUUUUUUUUAAAGAUUGGCACCAGAGCCAACAUCUGUUACCGAUCUUCUUUUUUGUCUUCUUCUUCUCCCCAAAGCCCCCGAGUACACAGUUGUAGGUCCUUCUGGCUCUGCUAUGUGGGACACCACCUCAGCGGUACUGUGUCCGCGCCCAGGAUCCGAACCAGCAAAACCCUGGGCCGCCAAAGCGGAGUGUGAGAACUGAACCACUCGGCCCCGGGGCCGGCCCCUUUUUUUCUCUUAUAAAGGCACCAGUGCAACUCAAUAAGGAAAAUAAAGGUCUUUAUCAUAAAUGAUGCUGGAACAAUUGCCAGGCCUUCCUUGCAGUACCAGUGUCGGCUCCAUUAGGUGGCCACAUUCUCUUACAAUUUGAAAUUCAGCUGCUCCUGAUAACCAACGCAGGCCUCGUAGUUUCUCCUGUUGUCCAAAUAAGGGUGCUCUGAUUCGAAAGAUAAGAGACACUGCUCCUUCCGGCCCCUUUCGGGGUGUUUCUAGGUGAUUAGAAACCCAGCAGAAGUGCUGGGACUCCGCCUGUGACAUGCAGCGGUCUCAAAGGGCCUCCCAACAGAAAAACACACCCGCUCCCGGGUCAGAAGGAAUUCUGUAAGCUCGUCCGGGAGGCCGCCUGAAGGAUUGGGCAUCCAGUGCCUUGAGCAGCCUGACACCGCCUGGUGUCCAGGAAUCUCCCAGACACGCACGAGAGAGACCAACGGCCCAUUGGUGACACCCUGGGAAGUGUCCUCACAAGCAGCACAUGCCCGAUCCAAGACAUAGACCCUCCUGCCGUGGUCAUCCGAGAACAGCCCCCUCUAAAUUAUGGGGAACAGUUGUUCCAGAACAACCAUAAGUGAUCAGCCUCCCUCAGGAACCGCAGCUGGAUUUAUAUUUAAGAACUAUGGUCCUUCCUCUUGUAAAUUUUUGUCCCAAAUACUAAAGAUGAUUUAAAAUUACAAUGGCCACUUUGGGAUUCCUUCAAGCUUCUAAAACGUGUCUUUCUGUGCACUAGAUUUGAGAACUGCAGAGCAG